rnacentral:lncRNA from 1 species
UUUUGUGAGUUUUGAGUAAAAUCCAUUGGCUUAAACUAUGCAAUACACCAACCACUCCAUUUGAAAAUGAAUUUCGUACGAACCUUAGUUGUCCAAUUUCAAGGACCAAUCAAUGUCGGAUUGAGUCCAAAACUUCGGGAACAUCAUAAGGUUGUGGAAGGUGUCAUUUGGUGAGUUUUGAGUGAAAUCCAACGGCUAAAAUUAUGCAAUACCCCAAC